rnacentral:rRNA from 1 species
GGNUCUUUUAGGGNCCNAGUUGUAAUUUGUAGAGGAUGCUUCGGCGUCGGCUCCGGUCUA